rnacentral:rRNA from 1 species
UACAGAGGUCUCAAGCGUUGUUCGGAAUCACUGGGCGUAAAGGGUGCGUAGGCGGGUCUUUAAGUCAGGGGUGAAAUCCUGGAGCUCAACUCCAGAACUGCCUUUGAUACUGGUGAGCUUGAGUCCGGGAGAGGUGAGUGGAACUGCGAGUGUAGAGGUGAAAUUCGUAGAUAUUCGCAAGAACACCAGUGGCGAAGGCGGCUCACUGGCCCGGUACUGACGCUGAGGUGCGAAAGCGUGGGGAGCAAACAGGG